CAGUGUUUGUGCCCCGCGCGCCUGGUGGUGGCUUGGUAAGGGAUGGAGGCAGGGAAACAGGGAUGUGCUGUGUAGGGACAGGCUGUGGGACCCCUCUCCCCCUUUCCUCCCACGCGCGUCUCACACCAUUUCCUGCCCAGUUCCUUAUCCACCGAGCACUGGGCAGCUUGGCUGUGCCCCACUGGAGAGGGUGGAAAUCUGUGUUAGGCGAUGCCUCAUUUCCCCCGUCCAAGUAAGGUCUUGUGUGGGAGAAUGGAGCUGCUGAGAGGAAGGAACAAAAGUUGGGACUCCUGGGGCACACACUGCUCAGCCCCGAUGGAAAGAAAAAACAAAAAAAGCCCACACUCCUGCUUCACUAGCCUAACAAUUAGGGUAUAUAGUUCCUGAAACAGAGUCCCCAAAUUCUGCCCUGAAGACCCAGUUUGUGGAGAGUGUGAUUUAUUGUUCACUAAGGCCUUUUGGCAUCCAUAUUAUGUUGGGGAUAUUCUAGCAAAAUGGAAAGACUGUCCUUCAAUUUAAAAACAAAAAAAACAAGCUGACAACAGCAAGGUGGUGGCACUGGAGUUUCAGCUCUUACAUUAGAAUUCGAAGGCUAAGUAUACCCUAUUUUAAGAGUUAAACCAGGUUAUUUUAUAGCAUGUUUGUUCCUCUUUUGUCCUCCUUCCCCACUCAUUGGCACAUUAACCAGCAGGUGGUCUUCCACAUGUAUAUGUAAUGCCUUAUGUGCAUUCAAAUUUUAAAUAGCAAGCUACCUAAAGUAUUACAAUAAUAUUUCCAUUUAACAGUGAGAUUUGCAAAGCUGUCAAAUAGCAAACUGGGGUGCACAGGGUUACUAAUAAAUGACAAAUGGAAAUCCAGUUAUAAAAAGCCUUUACAAAAUUUAAUUUGGCAACAUUACGAAGAGUAUGCUUCACAGCUCUACAUUUCAAAAAUAUUUACAUUUGGGUGGAAAUGUUGCAGAAACUUUUUUUUAGGGUUCUCAUAUUCUAGAUGUGCAGUAUACUACUACAAACAGUUUAAUUUACCACUUUUAAAAAUGUAAGCCUUCUGGUAUAUUAAUUUUAGGUUGACAAUAUUCCAGUGGUGAAGGGCCGGUUACAGAAAAAGUUGCUGAGUCCAUAACACGUCUGAGUAAUUUGAGGCAUCCUCUUAGCAUUAUGUAACUUAAGGCAAUUUUGCCAAUACUAUUAAAUUGUCAAGAACCCAGAACAUUAAGUGCCUCAUAAUUCUGUUUCAUGUUAUCCACAUUCAAAGACACGAACCAGAAGGACCACCUUCCAAAGGCCUGACUUGUAGCCCACUGUGGAAAUGAGUAAUUCACCUAUAAGGCCAAACUUCUCAUUUUACACAUAAAGCUCAAAACACUAAUAUUGCUUGUUGGUAACUAAUACGCUCUGACAGUUCAGUUGUUAUAGCAAACAAACCAAGCAUUCCACUUUGCUUUUGAAAUACUAUAUUCAGUACUGUCACUGGACGUAGACUGCUUUUACAAGAUAAAUGGGGUGGGGGAAACGACUGCUGUGUAGAAGCAAUAGUUUUCUCUGUAAUUUGCUAUUGGACUUCACUACCGUAUCAGCAGACUUAAGAAAAAAGUGUGUGCAAAUAUUUGCACAAACGAGGGCAAGUAAAGUAAGGAUAGAGUUUAUUUUGCUUCUGGAGUUUUAAGACAAACUACAAAUUUCAGUUCAAUAUAAACAAAUUUGUAAGUCUUUCUGGUUAAAUGGUGGAAACUAGAUUCCAGCAAUGUGUGUUUUUAGAUUUUGGUAGAGCAGUUAUUUCCACAAAGAUCUAAAAUAAUAAAGAAUUCCACUGUC